rnacentral:tRNA from 1 species
GCAGAUAUAAGCCUAAUUGGUAAGGCAGUGGUCUUGAAAACCACCAGUAAUCGGGUAACCGGUGUUUCAGUUCGAGUCUGAAUAUCUGCG